rnacentral:rRNA from 1 species
AUACGUAGGGGGCGAGCGUUGUCCGGAAUGAUUGGGCGUAAAGGGCGCGUAGGCGGCUUUGCAAGUCAGUAGUGGAAGUCCAUUUUUCAAGGAUGGAAGUGCUACAGAAACUGCGGAGCUUGAGUGCAGGAGAGGUUAUCGGAAUUCCCGGUGUAGCGGUGAAAUGCGUAGAGAUCGGGAGGAACACCAGUGGCGAAGGCGGGUAACUGGACCGCAACUGACGCUGAGGCGCGAAAGUGUGGGGAGCAAACAGGAUUAGAUACCCUGGUAGUCCACACUGUAAACGAUGAAUGCUAGGUGUAGGAGGUAUCGACCCCUUCUGUGCCGCAGUAAACACAGUAAGCAUUCCGCCUGGGGAGUACGGUCGCAAGAUUAAAACUCAAAUGAAUUGACGGGG